rnacentral:rRNA from 1 species
UUACUGUCUCCUCACUCCAAUCAGUGAAACUGAUCUUCCCGUGAAGAAGCGGGAAUAAAUAUAUAAGACGAGAAGACCCCAUGGAGCUUUAAACCCAACAGCAUCUAUUAUUUUAUGUCCUCAUAAACGCUUAGUUAAUGCUUGUUUGGUUUUGGGUUGGGGUGACCAUGGAGUAAAAAAUAUCCUCCACGAAGAAAGGGAUAAUGGCCCUUAUUAAAGAAUUACACUUCGAUAAAUUAGUAUACUAAUUUCCAAUGAUCCGAUAUUCGAUCAACGAACCAAGUUACCCUGGGGAUAACAGCGCAAUCCGCCUUAAGAGCUCUUAUCGACAGGCGGG